UUAUCAGUUUUAAAACAAACUUAAAAAACAAACGCCUCUGCCUCCCAAAACGCUGCUAAAAAAUCAGGCCAUUUUAAGGCCUUUCAAAUCUCACCAAAAACCCCGAUCGCGAUGGAGCAGGCAGACUCAAUAACACCAGUUUGUUGCGUUUGCAGGUACAGCCAGCUGGAGGUGCACACGUGUGGAGGCGCCUGGAUGAGGGCAGCGGCUGGUAGCGCACAUGCGUGGAAGGGCUUAGCUGCGGUGGCUGAAGUUUGCUCUAGAAACCUUAGGGGUUUCUGAAAACUGCUUUGGGCUUCAAUGUAAUUGGGCUGGGGUUUUGGGUUAGGGAACUUUAGGCAGUUAUUUGUUUGUAAUCUGGACUAGGGUAAUACGGGCUUGCUAGAAUUUGUAAGUGGACUUUUGUUUAAAAAUGAACUUUAUUUUUAACUUA